rnacentral:rRNA from 1 species
UUACCUGCGCGCGAGCUGAUGCAGCAUACCAGCGUGUGUGAAGAAGGUCUUCGGAUUGUAAAGCUCUUUCAGCGGGAAAGAUGAUGAGUGUACCCGCACAAUACGCCCCGGCUAAUUUCCUGCCAACAGCCGCGGUAAU